UCGUCUUUUGCCAAAUUUACAUAAAAGAUAAUGCCUGCCCAGUGAAUAAUUAUAUUUAAACGGCCGCGUUAGCGUGAGCGUGCUAAGGUAGCGUAAUAAAUAGCCUUUUUAUUGAAGGCCAGUGAAUGGCAAGACUAGGAAUACCUGUACCAGAUAUGUUAAAAUAACUUUUCCUUUGAGUGAAAAGACUCAAAUAUUUCAGGAAGACGAAAAGACCCCGCGGAGCUUUACUCUACCGAUCUUUGUGAAAAAAUCACAAAAUCUUAAAAGUUUGAUUGGGGCAAUCUUGGAACAACACCAACUUCCAAUUAUAAACUAAUAACUAUACAAAACUUAAUAAGAACAAAAAAGCAGCUACCCCGGGGAUAACAGCGUUAUCUAACUUGAGAGUACAUAUCGAAAGCUAGGUUUGCGACCUCGAUGUUGGCUUAAGGGUAUCCACAUUAGUGCAGCCGCUAUGAAAGGAUAGUCUGUUCGACUAUUGCACCCUUA
rnacentral:rRNA from 1 species